CCAGGCCGGAAGUCUUGAUCCAGCCACUCACCUGAGCCACGUGGAUGAACUUGAUGAAGACUUCUGCCCGGAGCUGCGGAGUGGGGCGGCUGAGAACCAUCAGCUGCACCCACUGGGAGAUGCCGUUGCACAAGGCAAUGGACCGCUCCAUGGUGGGGUUCUCCUUCACACAGCGAUUUACAAGGUUGCCUUCCAGAUACAACUAGGCUCAAUAAAUUGGUACUGAAAAGCUCGUGGUCCUGGCCCCAGCUUGGAUUCUCAGAAGCUGUUCUGACCUUGCUCUCAUCAGCCUCUGGGUUCCCAUUCCCUUGCCAGGAGCACAUGGCUCAUUCCAAGGAAGGCAUCCAGCAGCUUGCUGUCUGUGGUUUCAGAGCAAAGUGGAAGACUGUGCCUGUGGGGAGUUUGGAGGACUACGGUGAGGACCGGAUGCACCUGUGUACUCUUCCUGUUCUUGAUAAGCUGAAAUCCCCUUCAUCCUUCUCCGCUCCAGUCCAAGUUCUGCCUGGUUGCCCCAACAGCAAGGAUUAGGCCAGCACAGGUGCUGUCCAGAAGCACGGCCAAACAAGUACUAAGAAGCAACUGGCGGAGUCUUCCCAAAUACCCACACCGUGAAAUAACAGAAGCCCCAUCAGAGAAUUAUUGGUUAGCCACAACCUUGACCUUCUUUGGAAAGAUCCUGCGAAUGUGUGACUCAAUCGUAUCAGAUCUGCAAGCCUGGACAACACAUAACCCCAUUCCAGGGCAGGACAGAAGCACGGCAGUCAGUGUGUACUGGUAUAAAUAGCAAAACACUGGACACAGCUUUACCACAAAUACACUUCUCACAGUGAAAGUUCUUCUUUGCCUAUAAUUCUCUGCAAUAAACAAUUCUGUACAAAAAAAA